CAGCAGCCGCGGUAAGACAGAGGGUGCAAACGUUGUUCGGAAUUACUGGGCGUAAAGCGUGUGUAGGCGGCUUCGCAAGUCGGAUGUGAAAGCCCCGGGCUCAACCCGGGAAGUGCACUCGAUACUGCGGAGCUAGAGUGUCGGAGAGGUUGGUGGAAUUCUCGGUGUAGAGGUGAAAUUCGUAGAUAUCGAGAGGAACACCGGUGGCGAAGGCGGCCAACCGGACGAACACUGACGCUGAGACACGAAAGCGUGGGGAGCAAACAGGAUUAGAUACCCCCGUAGUCCCUGUCUCUUAUAC
rnacentral:rRNA from 1 species